AUGAACAUCUUGGCCUGGAACUGUCGAGGACUGGGGUUGGACUCGACAGUGGGCGAACUCCGAGACCUGAUUAGGUCCUACAACCCAGCGGUGGUGUUCUUAAGCGAGACAAAAAAGAAGCCGAAGGCUAUGGAGAAAUUGAAGUGGAGUUUGGGUUUCCGAAGUGGUGUGGCGGUUGACUGUCAAGGUUUGAGUGGGGGUUUAGCGAUGUGGUGGAGGGAGCAUCUUCAAGUCACUGUU
rnacentral:rRNA from 1 species